rnacentral:rRNA from 1 species
AUUGAACGCUGGCGGCAGGCCUAACACAUGCAAGUCGGACGGUAGCACAGAGAGCUUGCUCUUGGGUGACGAGUGGCGGACGGGUGAGUAAUGUCUGGGGAUCUGCCCGAUAGAGGGGGAUAACCACUGGAAACGGUGGCUAAUACCGCAUAACGUCGCAAGACCAAAGAGGGGGACCUUCGGGCCUCUCACUAUCGGAUGAACCCAGAUGGGAUUAGCUAGUAGGCGGGGUAAUGGCCCACCUAGGCGACGAUCCCUAGCUGGUCUGAGAGGAUGACCAGCCACACUGGAACUGGGACACGGUCCAGACUCCGACGGGAGGCAGCGGUGGGGAAUAUUGCACAAUGGGCGCAAGCCUGAUGCAGCCAUGCCGCGUGUAUGAAGAAGGCCUUCGGGUUGUAAAGUACUUUCGGCGGGGAGGAAGGCGGUGAGGUUAAUAACCUUGCCGAUUGACGUUACCCGCAGAAGAAGCACCGGCUAACUCCGUGCCAGCAGCCGCAGUAA